GUGUGUGAGCACCUGCCUGUGCCUAUGUGAGGGGUAUGAGUGUGUGUGCGCACGGGUGGGAGUAGAGCCUGCCUGUGCCUAUGUGGGGGUAUGAGUGUGUGUGCGCGCAUGGGGUGUGUAAGCGCCUGCCUGUGCCUUUGUGGGGGUAUGAGUGUGUGUGUGAGCAUAGGUGGGAGUAAGCCUGCCUGUGCCUAUGUGGGGUAUGAGUGUGGGUGUGCACAUGUGUGGGAGUGGCCCUACCUGGGGUAGGGGAGGGAUCCUCCUUGCACUGAGGCUCCAGGCUGCCUCCUGGCCAGAGACCAGAUGCACAGCAUUGCCUUCCAUUGCACAAACAAGAGCUCUGAGAAGAGAACUGUCAAGUGAAGACACGUGAGUGUCCUCUCAGUGCUGGCUCCUCUUUGGGAACCCGCCCAUAGGCUGCAUGGGGCCAGCCAGGAAGGAGGUGCAGCUGCCCACUGGCUGGCACGCACCAGGCCCCUCCACGUGCUCAUGUUCCCUUCCCACAGCACUGCACUAAAGGGAAAGUGAGAAGGAGCCUGGCCACAGCUCUGUCAG
rnacentral:lncRNA from 10 species